GAUGAACGCUAGCUACAGGCUUAACACAUGCAAGUCGAGGGGAAACGAUAUUGGAAGCUUGCUUCCGAUAGGCGUCGACCGGCGCACGGGUGAGUAACGCGUAUCCAACCUGCCCAUCACUUGGGGAUAACCUUGCGAAAGUAAGACUAAUACCCAAUGAUAUCCGUCGAAGACAUCUGAAGUGGAUUAAAGAUUCAUCGGGGAUGGAUGGGGAUGCGUCUGAUUAGCUUGUUGGCGGGGUAACGGCCCACCAAGGCAACGAUCAGUAGGGGUUCUGAGAGGAAGGUCCCCCACAUAGGAACUGAAACACGGUCCAAACUCCUACGGGAGGCAGCAGUGAGGAAUAUUGGUCAAUGGACGAGAGUCUGAACCAGCCAAGUAGCGUGCAGGAUGACGGCCCUAUGGGUUGUAAACUGCUUUUAUAAGGGAAUAAAGUGGGAGUCGUGACUCCUUUUGCAUGUACCUUAUGAAUAAGGACCGGCUAAUUCCGUGCCAGCCGCCGCCGUAA
rnacentral:rRNA from 1 species